rnacentral:rRNA from 1 species
AUACGGAGGAUCCGAGCGUUAUCCGGAUUCAUUGGGUUUAAAGGGUGCGCAGGCGGCCAUUUAAGUCAGCGGUUAAAUCGUGGGGCUCAACCCCAUUCUGCCGUUGAUACUGGGUGGCUUGAUUGCGGUCGAGGUUGGCGGAAUUCGUUGUGUAGCGGUGAAAUGCAUAGAUAUGACGAAGAACACCGAUUGCGUAGGCAGCUGACCAGACCGCAAAUGACGCUCAUGCACGAAAGUGCGGGGAUCGAACAGGAUUAGAUACCCUGGUAGUCCGCACAGUAAACGAUGAAUACUUGUUUUCGGCGAUAUAAUGUCGGAGGCAAAGCGAAAGCGAUAAGUAUUCCACCUGGGGAGUACGCCGGCAACGGUGAAACUCAAAUGAAUUGACGGGG